UACGAAGGGGGCUAGCGUUGCUUGGAAUCACUGGGCGUAAAGGGUGCGUAGGCGGGUCUUUAAGUCAGAGGUGAAAUCCUGGAGCUCAACUCCAGAACUGCCUUUGAUACUGAGGAUCUUGAGUUCGGGAGAGGUGAGUGGAACUGCGAGUGUAGAGGUGAAAUUCGUAGAUAUUCGCAAGAACACCAGUGGCGAAGGCGGCUCACUGGCCCGAUACUGACGCUGAGGCACGAAAGCGUGGGGAGCAAACAGG
rnacentral:rRNA from 1 species